rnacentral:rRNA from 1 species
UUGUGCUUCAUACUGGGGUAGUACAACAUUACAAUUGUGGUUAGUAUAUACCUUAUGUAUGUAAGCGUGUAUUACCGGUGAGUCUUAUAAUGUUUGAUAAAAUACUUGUAUUUUUUCAUAUGUUCCUCCUAUUUAAAAACCUGCAAUUAGUGCUCUAAACCGAGUGUAUUGUGGGCCGGUACUAUUUACUUUGAAACAAAUCUAGAUGCCCUUUUAAAGCAGGCUUCAAAUGCCUGAAUAUUCUGUGCAUGGGAUAAUGAAAUAAGACCCUCUGUUUCUGCUUUUACAUUUGGUUUUUCAGUCAAUAGGUUAAGAUUAAUUAGAAGCAGUUUGGGGGCAUUAGUAUUACGACGCGAGAGGCUGAAAUUCUUGGACCGUUCGUAAGGACUAACUUAAACGCGCGCAAAGCAUUGCCGAAAGAUGUUUUCAUUAAUCAAGAACGAAAGUUUUAGAGGUUCGAAGCGAUCAAGAUACCGCCCUAGUUCUAACCAUAAACGAGCCCAGCUAGCAAUUGGGUGUUAGCCCCACAUGGCUCUCUCAGUCGCUUCCCGGGAAAACAAAGCUUUUGGGCUCCGGGGAAGUAUGGUUUGCAAAGCCUGAAAAACUUAAAGGAUUGACGGCAAGGCACCACCAGGCAGUGAGCCUGCGGGCUUAAUUUUGACUCCAACAGGGAAAAUUACCAGUCCGAACAUAAGUGUGUAAGGGGGACAGAUUGAUAGCUUCUUUCUCGAAUCUAUGGGUGGUGGUGCAUGGCCGUUCUUAGUUCGUGGAGUGAUUUGUCUGGUUAAUUCUCGAUAACGAACGAGACUCCAAAUAUAUUAAAUAGAAUCUUCAGGUUAUGUGCUGAAGCUUAUGUAGCCUUCAUUCAUGUUCGGCAGUAAAAUGCUUAUCGUGUGUUUGAAUGUUGUUUUAUGUUAAGUGGGAGCCGUACCCUGUUGGUUUGUUCCCAUUAUAAGGACACUAGCUUCUUAAAUGGGACCAAAUUGCGUCUAGCAAUAAUUGAGAUUGAGCAAUAACAGGUCUGUUGAUGCCCUUAGGAUGUUCUGGGCUGCACGCGCGCUACAAUGAAAGUAUCAACGUGCUAUUCCUAGACGAGAGGUCGGGUUAAACCGCUGAACCACUUUCAUGCUUGGAUUGUGAACUGAAACUGUUCACAUGAACUUGGAAUUCCCAGUAAGUGUGAGUCAUUAACUCGCAAUUGAUUACGUCCCUGCCCUUUGUACACACCGGCCCGUCGCUACUACCGAUUGAAUUAUUUAGUGAGGUCUCCGGACGUGAUCACUGUGACGCCUUGCGUGUUACGGUUGUUUCGCAAAAGUUGACCGAACUUGAUUAUUUAGAGGAAGUAAAAGUCGUAACAAGGUUUCCGUAGGUGAACCUGCGGAAG